AUUGAACGCUGGCGGCAUGCCUUACACAUGCAAGUCGAACGGUAACGCGGGGCAACCUGGCGACGAGUGGCGAACGGGUGAGUAAUACAUCGGAACGUGCCCAGUAGUGGGGGAUAGCCCGGCGAAAGCCGGAUUAAUACCGCAUACGACCUACGGGUGAAAGCAGGGGAUCGCAAGACCUUGCGCUAUUGGAGCGGCCGAUGUCAGAUUAGGUUGUUGGUGGGGUAAAAGCCUACCAAGCCGACGAUCUGUAGCUGGUCUGAGAGGACGACCAGCCACACUGGGACUGAGACACGGCCCAGACUCCUACGGGAGGCAGCAGUGGGGAAUUUUGGACAAUAGGGCGCAAGCCUGAUCCAGCCAUGCCGCGUGCGGGAAGAAGGCCUUCGGUUGUAACCGCUUUGUCAGGGAAGAAACG
rnacentral:rRNA from 1 species